GCUGGGUGCGGUGGCUCAUGCCUGUAAUUACAGACACUUAAGAGGCUGAGGCAGGAGGAUCACAAGUUCAAACCAUCCUCAGCAACUUAUCAAGGCCUUAAGCAAUUCAGUGAGACCCUGUCUCUA
rnacentral:sRNA from 1 species